rnacentral:rRNA from 1 species
GACGAACGCUGGCGGCGUGCCUAAUACAUGCAAGUUGAGCGCUGAAGGUUGGUACUUGUACCAACUGGAUGAGCAGCGAACGGGUGAGUAACGCGUGGGGAAUCUGCCUUUGAGCGGGGGACAACAUUUGGAAACGAAUGCUAAUACCGCAUAAAAACUUUAAACACAAGUUUUAAGUUUGAAAGAUGCAAUUGCAUCACUCAAAGAUGAUCCCGCGUUGUAUUAGCUAGUUGGUGAGGUAAAGGCUCACCAAGGCGAUGAUACAUAGCCGACCUGAGAGGGUGAUCGGCCACAUUGGGACUGAGACACGGCCCAAACUCCUACGGGAGGCAGCAGUAGGGAUUCUUCGGCAAUGGACGAAAGUCUGACCGAGCAACGCCGCGUGAGUGAAGAAGGUUUUCGGAUCGUAAAACUCUGUUGGUAGAGAAGAACGUUGGUGAGAGUGGAAAGCUCAUCAAGUGACGGUAACUACCCAGAAAGGGACGGCUAACCACGUGCCAGCCGCCGCUGUAA